AGAAGAUAGUUUAGUUUAGAAUUCUGGCUUUGGGAGCCAGGGGUGGGAGUUAGAAUCUCCCUUUUCUGG
rnacentral:tRNA from 1 species